rnacentral:lncRNA from 1 species
CCUCUUUCAAUCCAAACCGUCGCCGCUCCUAUAAUAGUCGGUCGAACUCCAUCUCGAGAUCCUCAUUGCCGGCAACGGAAAUCAAGGCACCAAAAUUGGGGAAUAGACAUCCACAUUCAGUUGUACUCCAUCAGAGAGCUGUUAAUUGACGCACAAGUCGGAGUCAGAUCUGGCGAAGAGGGAGGAGACCUUGGUUGACCGGUGAUGACGGAGAAUUUGACGUCGCGUCAUGAAGGAUUGGAAUCGAGAGGAUGAAGGGUUUGCAGGACGAUUGUCGAAGUACAAAAACCGAGCAAUUGAAUCAAAUAUGGCGAUUCUCUUGAAGAUCUAGACUCCGGCUCGUCGACUAGUUGUUGGAGAUGAUCUUGAAAAUUUCUCUAGAACGUGAAGACAAAGUGGAAAAUGUCUCUCCUGGUCCCCAACAUUCCAUGGUUACAUAUUUAAGUCUGAACUUAAUAAGUAAUAGCAAAGUGUUUAAUUUUGUAAAUGUUAAACAACAACUACCCAUAUACGUUU